CAAAGCAUACAGCUAAUGUAUGUCUUUCUUUCCGACAUUUCCAUCUUCAGCAAAAUCAAGAAAAGCAGAAAAGUGGGAGAUUGUGAGAUUUUCAAGUAAAUUUCAACCAAACUGCUACUGCUUUUGUAGCAAUAAAGUGAAAGGAAGGGGAAAAAAGCUCUCAUUCCCAGAGGUGAGAAGGGAAAGAAGGGUAGGGUCCAAACAAACGAAGGAAAAGGUUAAGAAUAAAGUGCCUACACAAAAUCACAAAACGGAGAAAAUGGUGGGAAUCUUUCUUCGCUUUCCACUGUUCGGGCACUCCCCACAGCGCCACCUCUCUUACCCCAUUUCUACUCCUUUUUCAUGCUCUCUUUAUCUUUUCGUUUUUCUGUCUGUCUGUCUCACUCUCUCUCUCUCUCUCUCUCUCUCUCAAACACAUACGGACAAAGUAGUAUUAGUUCUGCUCCAGGCGUGAGGUAAUGAACCCUUCUAUGGGAUUUUCAUGUGGAGAUGCUUUCCAUUUUUUCAUCCGUUUCUAGGAUAGAGAGGAAAGCAAAGUUCCAUUGACGGAUGAUGAUGAUAAAAGUGGGGAAGCAAAAUACGGGAUUGGCAUGGAUUGGCAUAAUCUUGGGGUUGAACUCGUCGAAAUGGAGUUCUGGCCUGUAGAACACCCAAUGGAACCGCACGAUGAAGAUCGGCCCGUGAAAUGCCCAAUGCCGGACACCUCUGUUCUCAAUGAUGGAGAAAUGAAUGAUAAAAGAUUUUCUGAAAGCUUGAAGAAAAGGGCAGAAGUACCAGCUGUCAUUAGCAGAGAAAGCAUGGUUGUUCUGGAUGAACAGCCUCGUGUUCGAGCAGUGCGCAAAAGGCAUCACACGCUUACCCAUGGGGACCAUAUUAUGACGAAUCCUCUAAUGAGAAUGCCACCUCUGGCCACCCUCCCAACGCAGAACAUCACCAUCUUUCAAAUGCUGCAGCAGGUUGACAAGUUUGAGUCUGAAUAAAGAAGUAUAAUGAAAGGUUUGGUCCCAAGCUUUUCUCAGCCCCUUUAAGAAGCGAUGAGAAAAUUCUUCUUCAUUACCAAAUGGUGUUGCUGAUUUAGAAGAAAAAUCCUAGAUGCAUGUAGCAAAGACCUGUAACUCUACACCUAUUUUUCAAUCAUAUAUUGUAUAUUAUCACCAAAUCGCGUUCCAAGAAAAUUCAUUUAGGGUGGCAAUUCUUCUUCUUCU